rnacentral:rRNA from 1 species
UUGCAUCGAUGAAGAACGCAGCGAAAUGCGAUACUUGGUGUGAAUUGCAGAAUCCCGUGAACCAUCGAGUCUUUGAACGCAAGUUGCGCCCCAAGCCUUAGGGCCGAGGGCACGUCUGCCUGGGUGUCACGCAUCGUAGCCC